GUGGGGAAUUUUGGACAAUGGGCGCAAGCCUGAUCCAGCAAUGCCGCGUGCAGGAAGAAGGCCUUCGGGUUGUAAACUGCUUUUGUACGGAACGAAACGGUCCGGGUUAAUACCCUGGGCUAAUGACGGUACCGUAAGAAUAAGCACCGGCUAACUACGUGCCAGCAGCCGCGGUAAUACGUAGGGUGCAAGCGUUAAUCGGAAUUACUGGGCGUAAAGCGUGCGCAGGCGGUUUUGUAUGACAGGCGUGAAAUCCCCGGGCUCAACCUGGGAAUUGCGCUUGUGACUGCAAGGCUGGAGUGCGGCAGAGGGGGAUGGAAUUCCGCGUGUAGCAGUGAAAUGCGUAGAUAUGCGGAGGAACACCGAUGGCGAAGGCAAUCCCCUGGGCCUGCACUGACGCUCAUGCACGAAAGCGUGGGGAGCAAACAGGAUUAGAAACCCCGGUAGUCC
rnacentral:rRNA from 1 species